CUACGGGCCGCUGCAGUCGGGAGUUUUUUGCAAUGCGCGCAAGCGUGACAGAGCGAACCAGAGUGCUUUUCCAUAUUGGAAAAGCUUUUGUGCGAUGUAAAAAGUCGCACGAAUAAGGACUGGGCAAGACUGGUGCCAGCCGCCGCGGUAAUACCAGCGGUCCAAGUCGCAACCACAUUUAUUGGGUCUAAAACAUCCGUAGCUUGUUGUGUGAGUCCCUUGUGAAAUCCGGCUUCUCAAGAGUCGAAGGGCAAGGGAUACUGCACGGCUAGAGACUGGGAGACGUAAGGAGUACGGAUAGGGUAAUGGUAAAAUAUGUUGAUCCUUUCUGGACUAACGAUAGCGAAGGCAUCUUACGAGAACAGAUCUGACAGUCAGGGAUGAAGGCUAGGGGCGCAAAACGGAUUAGAUACCCGUGUAGUC
rnacentral:rRNA from 1 species